UCUCCUGGACAUGCCUGUGGAAGAUUAUCUUGGUUACAUUGAUUGAGUUGUUUUUGUAGGUGUGCUUUUAUCACGGCAACAGGGAAGUAGCGCAAAGCCUCUCACAAAGCUCUUGUGUUGGGAACUUAGUCCUGAUGCACCGUUGAGAGGAGGGAACCUUAGGAGGUAAUAAGGUCAGGAGGUAGAUACGAAAACGGUGUCUGAAUCCAGAGACUGAGGAAACAGAAGCACAGUGGGAAGACAGAAGGUACUUCAGAGCAGAUCAGCACGGCUUCGAAUUUUGACUCUGCCUUCUCCCGACUGGGCAUCACUGGACAAGCUCUGCAGUCCCUCUGAAUGUCAUUUUACAUCUCAAUGUAAAUUUAGGUGCGGUAA
rnacentral:lncRNA from 1 species